AGUGGACGCUGGCGGUAGGCCUAACACAUGCAAGUCGAACGGCAGCACAGUAAGGGCUUGCUCUUACGGGUGGCGAGUGGCGGACGGGUGAGGAAUACAUCGGAAUCUACUUUUUCGUGGGGGAUAACGUAGGGAAACUUACGCUAAUACCGCAUACGACCUACGGGUGAAAGCAUGGGAUCUUCGGACCUUGCGCGAUUGAAUGAGCCGAUGUCGGAUUAGCUAGUUGGCGGGGUAAAGGCCCACCAAGGCGACGAUCCGUAGCUGGUCUGAGAGGAUGAUCAGCCACACUGGAACUGAGACACGGUCCAGACUCCUACGGGAGGCAGCAGUGGGGAAUAUUGGACAAUGGGCGCAAGCCUGAUCCAGCCAUACCGCGUGGGUGAAGAAGGCCUUCGGGUUGUAAAGCCCUUUUGUUGGGAAAGAAAAGCAGCAGGUUAAUACCCCGCUGUUCUGACGGUACCCAAAGAAUAAGCACCGGCUAACUUCGUG
rnacentral:rRNA from 1 species